rnacentral:rRNA from 1 species
CAGCAGCCGCGGGAACACGUAGGGCGCAAGCGUUAUCCGGAAUUAUUGGGCGUAAAGAGCUCGUAGGCGGUUUGUCGCGUCUGCCGUGAAAGUCCGGGGCUCAACCCCGGAUCUGCGGUGGGUACGGGCAGACUAGAGUGAUGUAGGGGAGACUGGAAUUCCUGGUGUAGCGGUGAAAUGCGCAGAUAUCAGGAGGAACACCGAUGGCGAAGGCAGGUCUCUGGGCAUUAACUGACGCUGAGGAGCGAAAGCAUGGGGAGCGAACAGGAUUAGAUACUCCUUAGUCCCUGUCUCUUAUACC